ensembl:lincRNA
GAUGUGUUCACUGACCCACUAUGUCUUGUGUGAUCCUGUCGCUCAGGCUCAUGACUCUUGAAGAAGCCAGUGGCCCAGGCCCAGUCUCUGGGAGUCCUGAAGCCUGACGUUGACUGACCCUGGAGUACACGGUGUAGGAGUGAGCCACCAGCUCCGGGUGACAGGUAGGAACUGCGGGGCCUUGGGCCCCAAAGCCGACUGACCUUCAGUGGCUCACUCCUGCCCCAGCACAGGGGCCUGAGGAGGAAGAGCCACAGGCUAUGGCCAAGACGGCAGCCAGGAGUCACUGCUAUGAGGGAGACACUGCACUUCUGACACACAAGUUUAAAUAACACAUGGUUUCUCUUCUAUGAGAAACCCAAAGUACAAAUAAUUCAAAGGGCAGAAGAGAAGACAGACAAUGGGAAAUAGGGAGAUCGAUCUUUCAUAAAUGGGAGGGGAUCUAGAGAUGGAGGCAGAGGGGAGGGAAAGGAGGGAAGGAGAGUUUUAAAAAGAUAUAUUAGGUACAUGUACCUAGUCCCCACAAUGAAUGUAAACACUAUGUACUGCAAACAUACUCUAAAAAAAAUUAAUAAAUUUGAACAGAAAGAAGAAACUUAACUUUUCUGCCCAAGGUAAAGCCUGUGGCAAACUCACCGGGGCUGCAGUUUGCCCUGUCUGUAAAGUUCAACAGGAAGGUUUCACCAACGCUGACCUACACAAAUGCACUUCCUUCUGUGUACUCCGUACUGAUCUCAGGCAAAGCCCGCAUUUCCGACUGCUGGGAAAUGACAGCAGUCUAGCUCUCCCAAUGCACAGAUGGACAUAGAACCCAAGAAACAUACCGGGAGCUCACGACACCAUGGAGCGCCCGGCAAGCCGAGGCUCAAACUAAGCCAUCCUCCUCCUAGGGAAGGGUCCAGCGAGUUCCACUCCCUGGGAAAUCAGCAGCCAACAGCAGGGAAAAUCAGCCCCACAGGAUCCCAAAGCCACCUGAAAUCCCAUGUACUCACCAUCUCUCCUAGAAGACAAAAAUCAUUUUUAAAACAAGAAGAAUCUGUGGCUCCCCACAGCCCCAAGCAGGCGAACUUGAGGGCUUGUGGGAGCUCCUGUCCAGGCACAGCUUCCAGAGGAGUCCAGGGUGGUUCACAAGGAGCCAAGAUGCUGAAUGAAGGUCUCUUUGGGGACUCCAAAAGCAGAGCCGUGUGCACAGGCGCCAAUCGGCCCAGGACUGAAGUCAGCUGGGGUCCUUCGGGGUGGUCCUGCCUCCCUGGCAAGCCCCCCUGUCGUCUGCUGGCCACAGCUGCAGGGACACACUGCACCCUGACAAAGCCUGCACGUGGAGUGCUCGGGAGGAGGGGCCAAGGCUCCGUCUGGGAUGCCACAGACUGGUCCCCAUGGCAACCCUGCAGGCACUGGACUAGCGGCACUGGGCUGGUGGUGAGCCCAGAGCUGGGAGUCUGGGGCAGCAGAUGGGUUCCCUACUGCUUUGGGCUCGGGGAGGGUGCAGGAGGGAAGGCUGUUUAUUUUUCUGGAUCCCAGUGCCCACCCACCACCUCUGGCUUCAGGGAUCUUUAAAUACUAAAGUUCUGCAAAUGAUCCCUUUUAAUUGUGUAUGGACACUUUACUCCGUGCAUAGGGCGGCUAUGGUAGGAAAUGUGUGUUUGCUGAAGAGCUUUGUGUGAUGGCUGUGUGUGUGUGUGUGUGUGUGUGUGUGUGUGUGUGUGUGUGUGUGUGUUGUGCAGGGAAGCGGGUGUGUAAACAGCUCAGAUGGUUCCGGCCCAUAGUAUGUGUUUGGUUCAAGUGAGGAGAGCUGGAUGGCGCUGUAGGGACCCACAUCCCCUGGGGCUU